rnacentral:rRNA from 1 species
UACGUAGGCAGCAAGCGCUGUUCGGAGUUACUGGGCGUAAAGGGUGCGUAGGCGGCUUUUUAAGUUUGGUGUGAAAUCUCCCGGCUCAACUGGGAGGGUGCGCCGAAUACUGAGAGGCUAGAGUGUGGGAGAGGAAAGUGGAAUUCCUGGUGUAGCGGUGAAAUGCGUAGAUAUCAGGAGGAACACCGGUGGUGUAAACGACUUUCUGGACCAUAACUGACGCUGAUGCACGAAAGCGUGGGUAGCAAACAGG